rnacentral:rRNA from 1 species
AUUGAACGCUGGCGGCAUGCCUUACACAUUCAAGUCGAACGGCAGCAUGGAGAGCUUGCUCUCUGAUGGCGAGUGGCGAACGGGUGAGUAAAGCAUCGGAACGUACCGUGUAGUGGGGGAUAACGUAGCGAAAGUUACGCUAAUACCGCAUACGCACUGAGGUGGAAAGCAGGGGAUCGUAAGACCUUGCGCUAUACGAGCGGCCGAUGUCAGAUUAGCUAGUUGGUAGGGUAAAGGCCUACCAAGGCGACGAUCUGUAGCGGGUCUGAGAGGAUGAUCCGCCACACUGGGACUGAGACACGGCCCAGGCUCCUACGGGAGGCAGCAGUGGGGAAUUUUGGACAAUGGGGGCAACACUGAUCCAGCCAUGCCGCGUGAGUGAAGAAGGCCUUCGGGUUGUAAAGCUCUUUCGGCCGGGAAGAAAUCGCACAGGCCAAUACCCUGUGUGGAUGACGGUACCGGCAUAAGAAGCACCGGCUAACUACGUGCCAGCAGCCGCCGUAA